CCUACGGGAGGCAGCAGUGGGGAAUAUUGGACAAUGGGGGAAACCCUGAUCCAGCGAUGCCGCGUGAGUGAAGAAGGCUUUAGGGUUGUAAAGCUCUUUUAUUGGGGAAGAAAGGACUCUAUCUAACAGGGAGAGGCGAUGACGGUACCUA
rnacentral:rRNA from 1 species